AAUAGAAAUUUCUAUUUUGUUUCUAAUCCUUGCUAUAUGCAAUGCUAACUCAACACCAAAAAAAUUAUCUAAUGCAUUGUAUUUCAAAUAUAUUAAUUCGUUAUUCCUUUCCUAAAUAAUCUCUUGGGCUCUGUGUCUUCUUAACUCAUCGGGGCAACAAUUAUUAAAAAUCAGUUGAAUUGGGAUUGCAGUUCUUCUUCUGACUUACAGUGUGAAUUAUUCUAUUAAUUUUCAUUUUUGCUUUACUUCAAAAUAAAGCAGGGUUCAAUUUAUACCAUAAACAGUACAAUUUUAUACUCCCAUUUUUAAGUUUUUAUUUCCCUUAGAGUGUUAUUUGUAUUUUUUUCUACCUUUAUUCCAUCCUCCUCACAUUUUUAAGACCCCAAAUUUCAAAGUAAUGUUUCUCUAAAAGAUUAACUCUUUUAGUCUGUAAUCUGCACUAUCCUUGGGUUAAAUGGGAAUUUUCUAGGACACCUUCCCCCAAGUAAAAAUGAGCAAUGAAGAGUACUUUAUAUUAUUCCUUUUGAUUGUUUUUAUGAAUAUACUUUGAAAUAAAUUACUCAAUCUAAGGUUUUCAAAGUUUAAAAAUCAUGGACAAAAGUUUGACAAAGUCCAACUUUGAGGACAUAAUCAAACUAAAGUUUUUGGUUACAAAAAUUUGAAUAUUCUCUAAAGAUUUUUAAAGGUUUGAGAAACACCAUUUUAUAAAAAGAGAAUUAAUUUAAUCUUUGAUUUAAAUCCAAAAUUUUUGUUAUACUAUUAUUGUAUUACUUAUUUCUCCAAAACCCCCUACUAUGUAUUCUAGAAAUUAGGUGAAUUUCUAGACAGCAAGAAUAUAUUUACUUUUUUUUAAGUGAUAACUUUCAUUAUAUAGUAAAAUUAAAUUUCAGAAAUUCUUAGAAGCAAUAUCUGUAUUGUCUGCAUGUUGUAAAUUGAACCCUGUUUAAUCAUAUUAACUUGGCUGACUGUUACACUUCUGGUUAUUUUUUAAAUAAGGUGGUUUAUUCUUGAGCAAAGGCCUCUUUGUUAAUGGAGAAUUAAUUAUUUACUUCCGUAUUUGUGUGUUUUAAUUUAAUCAGCUGGUAAUAGUUAAGCUGUUUUAAUUAUGUACUAGCACUAUAGCAUAAUACCUUUUCAACAAAUUUUUCUUUAAAAUGUAUUCUAUCUUAAUGGUACUUUAGAGGUUAUUUUACUGUUAUAUAAUAUAAAAAAAUUAGAAGUGACCUUCCUAUGUAGAGUUUACCAAAGAACUUUUAGAAUUCAGUUACCUAGGAAUUUUAUCUUGCAUGAAAGGGACUUUGUACAUAAUUAAAUUUUUUAAAUAAUUUCUAAUUUUUGAUCCCAAAGUUAUAGUUCCUUUAUUAAAUGUAUUGACUAGCUUCCCAUUUGUUUCUGUGUUUUGAAUAUAAUAUGUAAUAUGGAAUAUCUGAUCGUGAAUGUUUGAAAAACAUCAGUUAACACAUUUCUUAGGACUGAGAACAUUACUGGAAGGAUAGUUCUUUGAUAAUGUUUCUUGCUUUCUUUUUAUGUAUUGGCAAGUGUUUCUUUUUGUCAUGCCAGUUUUUAUAGUUACAUUUAUUGGGAAACACGUUAACUUUAUUCAGCUUUUGAAACUUUGUUACUUAUAAAAUUAUACAUAAUUAUUUUUCAUCUUCAAAAACCACUGUUAUAUAUUCUAUUUUAUAUAUAAUUUUGUUUAUGUUUGGAAUUUUUCAUGUCUUUUUAAUCCCAAGAUAUAUCCCAAGGUAUAAGAAGGAAAGCUCAUUUCUAAAUUUUUUCUUCAUUCAAAUGGAAACUGCCCCAUUUUAGACUGUAAAGUUUUUGCAGUUUAAAAAAAAAAUGGCAGUUUAUCUCCCUACAUUAAUGUCUAGUUUUGUAGUAAGACUUAGCAUAAAUAUGCUAUUGAAAAACAUGUAAUGUGUCAAUGAAACAUUGGUAAAAACCUUAUAGGAUCUUAUAAAAAGCUCUCUGUCAAGACAUGUUUUCCAUAUAAAGCUAUUAUGUCAAAAGUGCCAGGACUCCUUGAGUGUUGUGACCUCACUGUUUCCUGUCAUCCAGUCCCAUACUUGGCUUUGAAGUAUCCUGAACCUCCUAAAAUCAUCUCCUGUCUCUUCCUCAGUAUACGAAUAUUUAUAGCUUCAGCUUUAGGCAGUUAUGCAGUCACCCAAUAAGGGAAGGCCUAAGAAUUAAGCCUAAAACCUCCAGCGCUGUCCCUGGCAAAAGAACCACUGUGUGAAAGGCUGACAGAACGUCUUGGCUCUGAAACUUUGUCCCAUAGUUUCACCUACUCGGAAAGUUACUUCAGCUCGUUUCAUAUUGGAGAAGCCAGGGAGAGGGAUAGGUUGCAGGAUGCCAUCCUCUCUUUAACAGUCUAACCCAAGCAUGGAAAAAGCAACCCUGUUUGUACUGCACGACAGUAUGGCUGAGAUAGCUGAAACGAUAAAAAUAUGUAUGUAUUUUAAAUAUACUUAACAGUUUUGCUGGUACCGUACCAGCCCUUUAAAAAUCAUUUUUCUUAUUUAAUCCACUCAGUAACCUCAGUGAUCUACUUACUGUUAUUUCCCUGUUUUACAGAUAAGGAAACUUGAGAAUUAAAGUAUAAGUAAUGUAUCUAUUGGUCACAAGCUGGUGAACGGCAGAGCCAGCAUUUAUGCCCAGAAAUUCUUUAUAUUUAAUCCACAACAUGGCCAUUGAAAGAGAAGAAGCUCAUUUUGAAAGAGAAGAUGAGUCAAGUGUGCAGUAAUGCCAUUUUUACAGGAUGACUAAAAUCUGAAGAGUAUGUCAUAUUUUGUAUUCAAGUUUUAAUUAUAUUUCUGAUGUACUUUCUGGUAAAUUUCAUAAUAAAAUCUGCUCGGCGAAGUC